AUGCACCAGGGCAAAAAGGAAACAAGACGAACCCACCAAUCAAUGAGCUUCUGUGUUGAAGAGGAUCUCCUCUUCCUGCAGGUGAACUUGGAGAUUGCUUCAGCCUGCUUGGGAAAAAGGUCAGUCGAGAUCAUCCCUGUUCCACCUGGUUACCUCCAUAGCAUUCCCUGUCUGGCUGGCUCCAAAGAGAGCUGAGAGAUGGGCAGCUGGUAAUUACUGACUGCAGUGGGAGCUUUGACUCACAGGUUCCCAUCCUUGAUUCGGAUCUGAUGGAGCAGGGUAUGUCUGUAAGUCUCCUUCCCUUUAAUGGUUUGGCUGUCAACUUUAGGUUGAAAAACAUAGCACUACCUGUUGUGUUGUGAGAUUGAAUUCACCUGUGUUGGUGUCUUCUGGAGAUGAGCAUCUCUUUCCAGUUCAUAAUUAAACACUGGGUUGUUUUCAGGCCUCAUCUCUCUCCUAGCCAUUUUUAAUAUCCGAUUCAGUGAUUGCUGUUCUACGUUCUGGCUUCGUCCUGCAAAGCCUUAU
rnacentral:lncRNA from 1 species